AACAAAUUUUGUAGGCUACCUGCCGAGAUUUGCAUCCACUUCUUUUCUCAGCAUAAAUGACCGUUGUCACUCGCGAGGUGCAUGCAAUUCUCGGCAGGCAGGCAGAGUUCGGCACAACACCGGCCCUAAAAGUUCGUUGGCCGGUAGCCUAUGCCAGUUUACCAGUCCAGCCCUGAGGCUACCCUUUUAGACAUGUUUCUUGCAGACAGACUCUCCGACUCUCUCUGACUUUAAUUGUCUCCAUAAUAAAAGUUGAUGGGAGAAAUUUAAAAAACAAAAGAUCUUUCUAAUAAAUAGCCUAAAUAAAGUUGUGUUUUGUUGUUCAGACCUACAAUGAACACAGAUUUUAACAAGACAGUGAAUCAUAAAACAACUCAAAUAUAAGACUUUGCAGCGAUACACUUUUUAGUUUAGUUUAAUAUUAUCUGUCCUGAUGUAUCAGAUCAGGCCGAUCAGCUGCAGCGUCCAAUCAAUACAAAGGCUACCCAAUAAGGAGGCGUGUCGGUCAGUAAAAGACUUCCGCGAAGGAUGCACUGGUGUAUCCUCGCUGAUAGCUCCUCAGAGAUCGCUCCUCGCUCCUGGGAGCGCAAAUAAGAGUUUUGGGACGGCCUGCAAGAUGGCGGAGCGGAACAACUUCCGGUUCAAGCGAGGAGCGAGGAAACGACAUAUAAGAGACUUGAGAAGCACCCAGAGCUUCCAUUUUACUCGGGUGGAGCUAGAAAUAUGAAUGCGUGCCAACACGGACUAUGAUGGGCUCUAAAACGCAGGAGUCUGUUGCAUCUCACUGAGGGAAUGGUGGAGGCGAUUACCAGACUAGGGAUGCACCCAAAGACACAGCAGGAGAGGAACGAGAGGGAACAUCAGUCAAUGCCCACCUACAGAGGCUGAGCAGCCAGGUGCCAAGAAAACCACCUCGGUGUUGUUGAACUGAGGGCGACAUUGACAGACUCGACAUUGACACUAUCGCAUCUUGAGGUAAGCAGCGGUAUGAGACAGCACUUCAGUAGAUAUCUCUGAAACAUAAUACAUAGAUGUCUUUGACAUAACGUGACUGUGAUUUAGCAUGUUGUGUUGAUCAUUUGAGUUCAAUUGUGAAUGUUUUAACUAUGUUUUUUUUUUUAUAUAUAGCUCCUUUAAAUUCAGCCAUAUGUGAGUACUCUCCAAAUAUCCCUUGAUCAGUUCCUUGUUAUCUUUCAUUUCACUGAAACGGCCUUUAAGUCGUCGCUGUUAUGUUAAUUUAUGUUUAAAAAAAUAGAGCAUUCUCCCAUUUAAAUAACUGAACAGUGGUGCAACACCACACUUUUCCCUCUUUUGUUUCCACUUUUACUGCCACUCCAACAGUGAAUUCACUACCCAACCCAUCAUCGUCUGCCACACAGAUUUCUACAGAAGUUUGUAUUCUUGGCAAGACUCUACCAGUCUAUUUUAUGUAUUUAUAUUUUCAGUGGUGAAAAAAAUCAUUUUCAUGCUCUAUGCUCUUCUCUUCUGCUUUGACAAGCCGUCUGCACUGAAGAAGAAGCAGCAGUGCCUUCUGCUGUUUGUAAAGAAGAGAAAAAUUACAGUAAUUUACUUAUUUACAUUCCUCAGCUGUAAUAGUCUUUAUCAUUCAUGUUCAUGUGGGGAAAUUGUAUCACUGUAAUCCUGCCCAGAAUUUAUCAAACAUACGCCUCUCUCAUCUCUGUGUGUAAAUGUUAACAGGUGUUCAUGACCUAUAAAGGACCUUCAUGUGAACUCUCCUCUCGCUUACGGCCAUACCACCCUGAACACGCCCGAUCUCGUCCGAUCUUGCAAGCUAAGCAGGGUUGGGUACAAUAUGAUGUCUGUCAUGUAAUGUAACAAACAUAAUGCUUCAAUUAAAACAAUAAAAAACAAGUAA